rnacentral:rRNA from 1 species
CGUACACUCCUACGGGAGGCAGCAGUGGGGAAUAUUGCACAAUGGGCGCAAGCCUGAUGCAGCCAUGCCGCGUGUAUGAAGAAGGCCUUCGGGUUGUAAAGUACUUUCAGCGGGGAGGAAGGCGAUAAGGUUAAUAACCUUGUUGAUUGACGUUACCCGCAGAAGAAGCACCGGCUAACUCCGUGCCAGCAGCCGCGGUAAUACGGAGGGUGCAAGCGUUAAUCGGAAUUACUGGGCGUAAAGCGCACGCAGGCGGUCUGUCAAGUCGGAUGUGAAAUCCCCGGGCUCAACCUGGGAACUGCAUUCGAAACUGGCAGGCUAGAGUCUUGUAGAGGGGGGUAGAAUUCCAGGUGUAGCGGUGAAAUGCGUAGAGAUCUGGAGGAAUACCGGUGGCGAAGGCGGCCCCCUGGACAAAGACUGACGCUCAGGUGCGAAAGCGUGGGGAGCAAACAGGAUUAGAAACCCGUGUAGUCC